rnacentral:scRNA from 1 species
ACCUCAAACAGAGCAUCAACGCGGCCCACUCC